GGAAGCGAUCAUACCAGCACUAAAGCAUCGGAUCCCAUCAGAACUCCGAAGUUACUCGUGCUUGGGCGAGGGUAGUACCAGGAUGGGUGACCUUCUGGGAAGUCCUCGUGUUGCAUUCC
rnacentral:rRNA from 1 species